rnacentral:rRNA from 1 species
GACGAACGCUGGCGGCGUGCUUAACACAUGCAAGUCGAACGGAAAGGCCCUGCUUUUGUGGGGUGCUCGAGUGGCGAACGGGUGAGUAACACGUGAGUAACCUGCCCUUGACUUUGGGAUAACUUCAGGAAACUGGGGCUAAUACCGGAUAGGAGCUCCUGCUGCAUGGUGGGGGUUGGAAAGUUUCGGCGGUUGGGGAUGGACUCGCGGCUUAUCAGCUUGUUGGUGGGGUAGUGGCUUACCAAGGCUUUGACGGGUAGCCGGCCUGAGAGGGUGACCGGCCACAUUGGGACUGAGAUACGGCCCAGACUCCUACGGGAGGCAGCAGUGGGGAAUAUUGCACAAUGGGCGGAAGCCUGAUGCAGCAACGCCGCGUGCGGGAUGACGGCCUUCGGGUUGUAAACCGCUUUCGCCUGUGACGAAGCGUGAGUGACGGUAAUGGGUAAAGAAGCACCGGCUAACCACGUGCCAGCAGCCGCGGUGAUACGUAGGGUGCGAGCGUUGUCCGGAUUUAUUGGGCGUAAAGGGCUCGUAGGUGGUUGAUCGCGUCGGAAGUGUAAUCUUGGGGCUCAACCCUGAGCGUGCUUUCGAUACGGGUUGACUUGAGGAAGGUAGGGGAGAAUGGAAUUCCUGGUGGAGCGGUGGAAUGCGCAGAUAUCAGGAGGAACACCAGUGGCGAAGGCGGUUCUCUGGGCCUUUCCUGACGCUGAGGGGCGAAAGCGUGGGGAGCGAACAGGCUUAGAUACCCUGGUAGUCCACGCUGUAAACGGUGGGUACUAGGUGUGGGGUCCAUUCCACGGGUUCCGUGCCGUAGCUAACGCUUUAAGUACCCCGCCUGGGGAGUACGGCCGCAAGGCUAAAACUCAAAGGAAUUGACGGGGCCCCGCACAAGCGGCGGAGCAUGCGGAUUAAUUCGAUGCAACGCGUAGAACCUUACCUGGGUUUGACAUGGAUCGGGAGUGCUCAGAGAUGGGUGUGCCUCUUUUGGGGUCGGUUCACAGGUGGUGCAUGGCUGUCGUCAGCUCGUGUCGUGAGAUGUUGGGUUAAGUCCCGCAACGAGCGCAACCCUUGUUCACUGUUGCCAGCACGUUAUGGUGGGGACUCAGUGGAGACCGCCGGGGUCAACUCGGAGGAAGGUGGGGAUGACGUCAAGUCAUCAUGCCCCUUAUGUCCAGGGCUUCACGCAUGCUACAAUGGCUGGUACAGAGAGUGGCGAGCCUGUGAGGGUGAGCGAAUCUCGGAAAGCCGGUCUCAGUUCGGAUUGGGGUCUGCAACUCGACCUCAUGAAGUCGGAGUCGCUAGUAAUCGCAGAUCAGCAACGCUGCGGUGAAUACGUUCCCGGG